CACGUCUCCUGCGACUCGGCAUGGGCAUGUAAUCCCGCAACAACGCCCUAGCACGCGAAAAAAAAAAAGCGGCGAGCAAGCAAGACGCUGAUUCGUGUUGACGCUGCUAAGAAGAGUCACCAUAACGCAUCUCUUUCCAUCCUCGCCCUUGUUUCGUCACGCACACAUUUUCCUCGCUCCACCUCUAUCCGUAGUGCGAGUGUUUGGCACAUCCCUUGCGCAAACACUUACUUGCGCGCACUCCAGCGCACGCACCCUCUAAAGCAACCAUAGACGCACACACUACCGCGUUCUCCGCCCACAACGCCUCCUCCAGUCCGCCGUCCCCUCCCAAAUCCCUGCGGAAAACGAAAGGGCGAAAUUGUUUUGAGCGUGUACCAUUUUGCUUUUCUCUGUUCGUGCCAUUGCUGCUACGUGCUUGCAAUUCAAGCGGCGGCUCUCUCAUGCCUGUGGCGCAGUAACUUAGACACACGCACGUACAUAUAUAUAUCAAUACAGGCACGCUGAAGGGUUUCUCUCUUUGUUUGGCCGUCCCCUGCGUGUACAGCGGCAUAGAUAGAUCAAUAUUUUUUUUUGUUUGGUAGGUAGCUCAAGUGUGAGCGUGCGCGUGCACGCAUUGUGUCGCUGGAAGUGGCGGCGGUUGCUUGUUUUUUUAUCCUAGUUUGGUGGCAACGUGUCGGAGUCACCGUUGUCAGGCUCUUCCUCUUUCGUUUUUUUUAGGUGUGUGUGUGUGUGUGUGUGUGUGUGUUUGUGUUUCGAUCUUGGCUCUUCUUCUCUUUCUUGGCGCUCUCUGUCGCCUUGAAGAGGGAAAUCGGGAAACAAAGGAAGAGCAUCUCUCUCUCUCUCUUGAUUGCCAAGCAUCAUCGUGUGCGCACUGACGCACCCCCUGGCACACAGAAGCACACAAGGCGGUGCCGUGAACUAUAACAGAGCAUCGACGGUUUCCUAGUCGAGCGCCUUCUGCCCGUCUUCGCUUUUCCAGCUGUUUUGACUGCUCACCCCUACCCCCUCCGCUUCGCCAUGGCAUCGUACGCCGAGCUCCUGCAGACAUGUGCGGAGUUCCAGGAGAACUUCUCCGCCUUGACUGGCAAGUACAACGCUCUCUCGCUGGAACUCAAGAACACCAAGGCAGUAUGCGAACGCAAGCAGCGGCAGCUGGACGAGGCGGCGGCGCGCGAGGAACAGCAACGCAAAGAGCUUUUAGAGCUGAAGAAAGAGGUGGACGACGCGGCAGGGUUUCGACAGCGGUACCACGCUGCUGCCGUCGCAACGGAGCACCUCAAGUCCCAACUCGCCUGUGCACAUCAGAGCGCAAUAGACGCGUCGCUGGAGCAUGAUCAAGAGGUGCAGCAGCUAAAGCAGCAGCUGGAGGAUAUGAUCAAGCGUGUCGAGACGGCGACGGACGGGCAGCGGCUGCGCGAAGCGCAGAGGCAAACGCUGGAGCUGGAGGAGCGGUGCGCCACCAUGCAUGCACAGCUGCUGGAGGAUCGGGAGCGGCACAGCCAGCAACUGCUGACAGCACACAACGCACUACGCGAGCAGCAGAGCCGCAACCUCGAAUUGGAGCAGCGCUGCCGCGCCAUGGAAGCGGACGUGGCAGAGAUGCGAGCGGCAGUGCGGCGUUCGACUGAACUGCAGAACGAGGCAGCUCUGCUCAAGGAGCGCUACUCGACGGCCGCCACGGUGGCACAGCACCAAGUCGAGGAACUUCGCGCUGAAGCGGAAGAGGCGCGCCGCCGGCUCGCCCAGCUCAAAGCCGACCACGAGGCGCAGCUGGCCCAGGUAACGCAGGAUGCAGCAGAGGCGCGGGAGGAGCUGCACGAGCGCGUGGCAUCUCUCACGGCGGACCUUGCCACGGCACAGAGCAAUCUGGCGGAGGAACGAUCUCUUUGCCGUAAGAUGCAAGCGAGUGCAGAGGAGCAGGUGAUGCAGGCACGCAACGCAUCAGUGGUCGAGGCGAGCGCACUGCGUCGCGCGCAGGCCGCCCUCAAGGAGGAAAACACGCGGCUUCAAUGGCGUCUCGAGAAAAUGGAUGGUGAGCUACGCGAGGGACAACAGGCUCUGCAGGCGCUGCAGUCGCGCCACGAUAGCCUGGCGGCAAAGCUGCAGCAAUCUCAGAGUCAACUGGAUACCGCUGCCCAGCAAGAGGCGUGGCUGACCUGUGAGAGGCAGAGCAUUGCCGAUCAGCUUGCCGUCGCUCGACAGCAACUAGAUGCGCUCAGCAAGGCACUCAUGAAUCACGAGGAGGUAGCACUGCAGGCGCAGCAGCUGACCAUACGCUUGGCGAGCGCGACAGAGGAGGCACAGAGCCACCGUCGUGCUGCCCUGAUGUGCGAAUCGCAGCUGCGUGAUGUGGAGGAAGCCUCCGCUCUCAAGGUGAGAGAGCUGCGACGAGAGCUGAAGGCGUACAAGAAGCAGUGCACCAACGAGGCGGCACGGGCAGACCGCCUUCGCCGCAAGCUGAUGGCCGCACUGGUAGAAAAAGAAGCAGAGCUGUACCGUGUCUCGCGAGCCACAGGACGCGCACUAACCCUUGAAGGUGAGCCAGCCAUCAUCCCCACCAGCGGCACUGUACUCCACGAUAGCGCCUACAGUGACGUUAUCGGCAUGCUGAGAAACCAAAGCCAACAAGCAGAGGAGCUUCAUACUCGUCUCGUGCAGUUAGCCCGGUAACCAACGACACAUGAUUUGUGCGUAACCGAAGCCCCUCUCUUGUGCGCAAGCUCGUUUUCGUAUGUGUGUAUGUGUGUGUGUGUGUGUGUCUGUCCUGUGUGGUUCUCGGACGCAUAUGUACGUAUGCGUGCUCCACAUGUGUUUCUCCUUUUUUUCCUCUCCUCUCCGUUUCG
rnacentral:misc_RNA from 1 species